AUUGAACGCUGGCGGCAGGCCUAACACAUGCAAGUCGAGCGAGCGGCGGACGGGUGAGUGAUGUAUGGGAGACUGCCUGAUGGGGGGGGAUAACUACUGGAAGCGGUAGCUAAUACCGCAUACCAUCAGAUGUGCCCAGAUGGGAUUAGCUAGUGGGUGGGGUAAUGGCUCACCCAGGCGACGAUCCCUAGCUGGUCUGAGAGGAUGACCAGCCACACUGGAACGGAGACACGGUCCAGACUCCUACGGGAGGCAGCAGUGGGGAAUAUUGCACAAUGGGUGCAAGCCUGAUGCAGCCAUGCCGCGUGUGUGAAGAAGGCCUUCGGGUUGUAAAGCACUUUCAGCGGGGAGGCGUUACCCGCAGAAGAAGCACCGGCUAACUCCGUGCCAGCCGCCGCGGUAAUUC
rnacentral:rRNA from 1 species